rnacentral:lncRNA from 1 species
AAUGUCAAAUCAAAAUCUUCUUCUUUGCUACUGUUAAAAUAGCUAAAGUUAGUUUUUCAUACAAUCCCUAGUUUGUGAUCGAUUUUGCUUCAAAUUUCUAUCUUUUUUCUCAAAAGCAGAAGAAGUUGAAUAAAUUAUUUUUUCACCGACAGUUCCCCUAAUCGUCAACACUAAUUGCUUUCCAGAGGUACGCGCAAAUUAAAAGUUCUGAAACCGAUUAACUUGUGAUCAAUUUUGCUUUUAAUUUAUUUAUUGUUACGAGUUUAUCGUUCAGAUGUCUUUAUCUUAGUAUUUUCAUGUCAAUAUUUAUCUUCCAAACAAGCCUAAGAUCACGUGUAGUUUAUUAAUAUUGCAUACUAAUAAAUUCAGUUCCUCACAAUCAUAAUUCAUUUUCCCACAUGUAUAAGGUUUUGUGUUUGAUUAUUGAUGUUUUUGUUUUGUUUUAUGGAGCAACCAUAUUCCGAGGAAGAAAAAACCAUUCAAAUAUCUUUAACUCCUUAAAUAUAUAUUUUAUUAUCAUUCAACUCCUGUAAUAUUCUCACUUAUCAGUUCUUUUAGAAGUGUUGUCCUAGGUUACUUUGUUUCAUAAAGGAAACCAAUUCUUUUGAUUUCAUCAAAAUUGUUAUUGUUUAUCUAUUGUACUCUUAUAAAUUUUCAUUCUACAAUUAUUUGUUUUUAUUAACAAUAAUAAUGAUAAUAAGUGUAUAAUUGAUAAAGAUGGAGUUAAUAUUGUCUUAACCUUGAAAAUAACAUCCACCAACAACAACCAAACUUAAUCUAAUUAGGAAGGAUAAAUUACAUGAAUUGAAUAAUAACGACGUAAUGAUCUAUUAUAAAUCAUGUCCAUUAACAUUCAUUUGAUCUAUUUUAUUUAUUAAGCUUUUAACGAUUUUCUCUACAUACAUUCAAAUCAUUUAAGGUGUGAUUUACCAUCUUCUUUUACAAAAUAUUCCUAAAACAACAUUUAAAUAGGAAUAAAAAUCUUCUAAAAAACAUACAAAUAAACGGAGAGAGUGGUAUAUAAUUCCUUGAUUAAAAAAUGAAAAUGCUUGUUUAACUGCAUGCAAUUAAGCCAUCAAUAUGUAUAUAUACACAUAUAAUAUAAUAUAAUAUAUAUAUAUAUAUAUAUUAUAGCAUAUGUGUAUGUAUAUCUAUAUGUGCAUGUAUAUCUAUAUGUGUAUGUGUAUGUGUAUAGGUAUAGAUCAUACAUAUAUAUAUACAUGUAUGUAUAGGUCCCAAUUGGCUACACGAAACUAAUACUAUUAAACUUGAAUCCAUGUUAAGUGCCACAAUAUCGUAUUUGAACUAUCAAUUUUGUGUCCUUUAACUUUUUACAUAACUCAACUUGUUCGUUAAUUGAUCCUAAAAGCUUAAAAUAUAUUGAAUUGCUAAAUAUGACCUUUAUAGUGUUUGUGCAACCAAAACUAAAUGAAUUAUUGCAAAAAGUUAAGUUUUCAGACAAAAGCAAGGAUUUAACAAUGAGCAGUCCGAGUAAAGUUAUGCUACCUCAUUCGUUCACUGUUGGAUCGAUCUGAAUUAUGGAUAUGUUGUUUCUAACAUAUGGAUCUUCAAUAUGAACAGUUAGAUCGGUAAAAUAUAAAAAAUUGGAUGUGUUGAGCAUAAUUCUUACGCUCAUCGAAAUUUGGAAAUUUUUUAUUGAAAACAUUCUGUCUCGGAUACACUAAGCCACGCUCUCACACCCAACGAAAGAAGGAGGUGCACCCAUUGCUAAUAUGUGUGCUCAACAUAAGAUGGUGCGUUGAAAGGUCGAAGUUGACUAUACGAAGUGAUGUGCUUAGCGCAAGGCGGUGUGCUAAGCGUGGGAACAAGAAUUAAGACACUAUUAAAGGGGUUUAACUUGAGUUUGUAAAGGAGACAUUCGAAUAGGAACACUUUAUACUCGAUUUCUUAUAGUUCUUUGGGUUGUUUAGCUUGGAUUGAGGUAUAGAAGCAAGGAAAAAAGCUUAGAUGAGCCAAUCUACACUAUUUGAGAAGAUAAUUUCUUCUCCCAUGAACUUAGUUUUCUCUUUGUAUCUUUGUGUUUAGUUCUCAUGAUAAUUUGUAGCCAAACCUUUUUAUUUGUUGGGAUUGAAUGUAAUAUGAUCUUGAUGUA